rnacentral:rRNA from 1 species
UAAUUAAAAAUUUUUGCAUAUCCAAUAAGCGGAGGAAAAGAAACCAACAGGGAUUGCCCUAGUAACGGCGAGUGAAGCGGCAACAGCUCAAAUUUGAAAGCUGGCCUUCGGGUCCGCAUUGUAAUUUGUAGAGGAUGCUUUGGGUGAAACGCCAGUCUAAGUUCCUUGGAACAGGACGUCAUAGAGGGUGAGAAUCCCGUAUGUGACUGGAAAUGUUAACCUAUGUAAAGCUCCUUCGACGAGUCGAGUUGUUUGGGAAUGCAGCUCUAAAUGGGAGGUAAAUUUCUUCUAAAGCUAAAUAUUGGCGAGAGACCGAUAGCGCACAAGUAGAGUGAUCGAAAGAUGAAAAGCACUUUGGAAAGAGAGUUAAAAAGCACGUGAAAUUGUUGAAAGGGAAGCGCUUGCAAUCAGACUUGUUUAAACUGUUCGGCCGGUCUUCUGACCGGUUUACUCAGUUUGGACAGGCCAGCAUCAGUUUCGGCGGCCGGAUAAAGGCUCUGGGAAUGUGGCCUUCACUUCGGUGAAGGUGUUAUAGCCCAGGGUGUAAUACGGCCAGCCGGGACUGAGGUCCGCGCUCGGCUAGGAUGCUGCGUAAGACAAGCAGG